ACGGGUGAGUAACACGUGGGUAACCUGCCCCCAUCUCUGGGAUAACCGUUGGAAACGGCGGCUAAUACCGGAUACGACCACCUUCCGCAUGGUUGGUGGUGGAAAGUUUUUGCGGUUGGGGAGGGGCCCGCGGCCUAUCAGCUUGUUGGUGCGGUAGUGGCGCACCAAGGCUUUGACGGGUAGCCGGCCUGAGAGGGCGGUCGGUCACAUUGGGACUGAGAUACGGCCCAGACUCCUACGGGAGGCAGCAGUGGGGAAUUUUGCACAAUGGGCGCAAGCCUGAUGCAGCGACGCCGCGUGAGGGAUGACGGCUUUCGGGUUGUAAACCUCUUUUAUCCACCACGAAGGCCAGGUAUUCGCCUGGUUGACGGUAGUGGUUGAAUAAGCGCCGGCUAACUACGUGCCAGCAGCCGCGGUAAGACGUAGGGCGCGAGCGUUGUCCGGAUUUAUUGGGCGUAAAGGGCUCGUAGGCGGUUGAUUGCGUCCGCCGUGAAAGGCCUCGGCUUAACCGGGGUUUUGCGGUGGAUACGGGUCGACUUGAGGCAAUUAGGGGAGAUCGGAAUUCUACGUGUAGCGGUGAAAUGCGC
rnacentral:rRNA from 1 species